GAUGAAGAACGUAGCGAAAUGCGAUACUUGGUGUGAAUUGCAGAAUCCCGUGAACCAUCGAGUUUUUGAACGCAAGUUGCGCCCCCUGGUAUUCCGGGGGGCAUGCCUGUCCGAGCGUCAUUGCUGCCCUCAAGCACGGCUUGUGUGUUGGGCCUCCGUCCUCCUCCCGGGGGACGGGCCCGAAAGGCAGCGGCGGCACCGCGUCCGGUCCUCGAGCGUAUGGGGCUUCGUCACCCGCUCUUGUAGGCCCGGCCGGCGCUUGCCGACACAUCAAUCUUUUUUCCAGGUUGACCUCGGAUCAGGUAGGGAUACCCGCUGAACUUAAGCAUAUCAAUAAGCGGAGGA
rnacentral:misc_RNA from 1 species